rnacentral:rRNA from 1 species
GAUGAACGCUAGCUACAGGCUUAACACAUGCAAGUCGAGGGGUAACGAGAGGAAAGCUUGCUUUCCUUGUCGACGACCGGCGCACGGGUGAGUAACGCGUAUCCAACCUGCCCCCAACUAGGGAAUAACCUUGCGAAAGUAAGACUAAUACCCUAUAAUUUCCUCAGAUGUCAUCUGACGAGGAAUAAAGAUUUAUCGGUUGUGGAUGGGGAUGCGUCUGAUUAGCUUGUUGGCGGGGUAACGGCCCACCAAGGCAACGAUCAGUAGGGGUUCUGAAGGGAAGGUCCCCCACAUGGGAACUGAGACACGGUCCAAACUCCUACGGGAGGCAGCAGUGAGGAAUAUUGGUCAAUGGGCGGAAGCCUGAACCAGCCAAGUAGCGUGCAGGAUGACGGCCCUAUGGGUUGUAAACUGCUUUUAUACAGGAAUAAAGUUAGCCACGUGUGGUUAUUUGUAGGUACUGUAUGAAUAAGGACCGGCUAAUUCCGUGCCAGCCGCCGCUGUAA